UCCAGACUCCUACGGGAGGCAGCAGUGGGGAAUAUUGCACAAUGGGCGCAAGCCUGAUGCAGCCAUGCCGCGUGUGUGAAGAAGGCCUUCGGGUUGUAAAGCACUUUCAGUCGUGAGGAAGGUAGUGUAGUUAAUAGCUGCAUUAUUUGACGUUAGCGACAGAAGAAGCACCGGCUAACUCCGUGCCAGCAGCCGCGGUAAUACGGAGGGUGCGAGCGUUAAUCGGAAUUACUGGGCGUAAAGCGCAUGCAGGUGGUUUGUUAAGUCAGAUGUGAAAGCCCGGGGCUCAACCUCGGAAUAGCAUUUGAAACUGGCAGACUAGAGUACUGUAGAGGGGGGUAGAAUUUCAGGUGUAGCGGUGAAAUGCGUAGAGAUCUGAAGGAAUACCGGUGGCGAAGGCGGCCCCCUGGACAGAUACUGACACUCAGAUGCGAAAGCGUGGGGAGCAAACAGGAUUAGAUACCCUGGUAGUCCACGCCGUAAACGAUGUCUACUUGGAGGUUGUGGCCUUGA
rnacentral:rRNA from 1 species